rnacentral:lncRNA from 1 species
GGAAAUAUGAGAUGUCGCCGUGACGCCACCAUGGCUACCUAGCCCCUCGCACCGCCAGGCUGCUGGGUAUGUCAGAGCCUUCGGCACCAGCAGCGUCAUUUUGAGGAAAUCAUCUUAAACAUCAGAAAAAGCUCUCUGAACAAAACACAUCCACUACAUCACUCAUCAGGAACAUGCAGAACAUUGAACAAAAGGGAAAUAUUAAGUAAAUUAUGGCACAUCCGAUACUUGACUGGAAAAGCCUGAAGACAUUAACUGCCAUGUUUAUGAAGCACUGGUUACAAAACAGGAAAAGGCUGGCGUUGUCACCAGCAAAAAAAAAAAAAAAAAAAAGCAGGAUAUACAUCUGAAUAUAGGGAAUGACGACAAAGCCUUUAAAAAACCGACCAACCACCAAGUGACACAGGCCUGGGAAGAACUCCAUCAAAACGUUAGCAUUGUUGAGGCUACAAAGACUGUCAAUAACCUUUU